AUCUGAGGGUGAGAGGGGGCAGGAAAUUAAUUUCCGCACUGGUUCAUCUAGCAGAUGCUCAUGCACUGAACCGUGACUGUGACUUCCUUGUGUGUGGACCCAGAGUGGCCCCAGUGUCUGGUAAGGGAGCACACGAUGACCCCAACACCAGUCAGCCAGAAAACUGAAGGACCAGGCUUCUAAACCAACCUCAAGAGUUGGAACAAAUUAACAGAAACUGUCCCCCCAAUUCCCUGGACUUCAGCAGGAACGGUCAGCAGAUGCUUAAAUGGAAUCAGCAUCUCAAAGGCCACCCUGGCUGGUCCAUAGCAGGCUGGUCCACAGCAGGCCGGGCCCCAGGGAGCAGGAGCUGGUGAGGUCAGGCAGAGCCCCCCACUGGCUCUCAGCACUUCUGCAAAGCAGCGGCUGUGAACACGUGUAGCGUGCUUUAGCAGAUGCAACAAGCCUGGGGGUUUAGAGAAUCUUUUGGAUCAGAAAAGUGAACUACAGUACUCUGUCCAAAAGCUUUCAUUUGGGAAGUUGUAAAAAAGUUGAAUUUUCUUUCUCAACUUGCAAAUAUGGACCUUUGCAACCAACUUAACGUUUGAGAUAAGCUUUUCUGAGUAAUGCCUUUGGAGGACCCGCUCAGCUGACGAACGGCCAGGGAGAAGCAUCUUCCCACAGGUAGUGCUAACUGCCCGUACUCAGAAGCACCGAGAUGCCCCACGGCUUGGUGACUGGCAGUUUCUACACGUGACUGCAGAUACGGAAAUUACCGCCGCCGAACAUGUGCACGAACUGUGCGUGGAGAUCGGUGAGGGGAUGAUCGCCCUCUCGCCCAACCUCCCUUCUCCAGACCCUAGAUUUGUCCCCUCUCCUACCACGCCCAGUUUAAGCUUCACCACCACUCACCUAGGCUGCAGCAGCCCCCAACUGGCACCGCCUCUUCCCACCCACCUUGACGCUGCUGCCGGAGUGGCUGUUCCCCAAAAUGCAGCUGGGAUCCCACUGCACCCCUGCUUAAAGUCAUCCAGGUGCUCCCCGAGCUUCCAGGGAGAGCACCCAAGGCUGCUCGAGGUCUGGCCCCAUCCGCCUCAUCAGCCUCUGCUCUUGGGGCUCUCUCUCUCUGACUUCCCAGCCCCCCUGCCACCUGUAGCUCCCUGGACUCGCCCUGCUCUCAUGACUCAGGCCUCAGUGUCACAGUUGCCGCUAUCCAGAAUGUCCUCACCUCACCGUUACACCAUCAAGUUAACACCCACGUCCUAACCUUCUCCACCCCAGCAACUCCUCUGGGACACCUGCCUGCACUCCAGCUGAGUGGGGGGGGGGCACUGCGCCGAGGCCCACCUUCCCAGCUCUGCCCAGCACCCUGCUUCCCACGCUGUAACGAGCUGCCCACUGUUUGCCCCAUUGGACCGGGAGCCCCCUUGGAGUGGGGGGCCACCUCUGUAAUCUGCACAGCCCCCCAGGUGGACAUCGCAGCAGACGUUCGGCAGACAGUGGCUAAACAGCGAAAUGAACCAGAUCUCCUGCACGGGGCUCUUUUCAGCUGGCUCCAGUGUUCCCGCCUGUCUCAACCCAGCACAAGAUGCGAGUUUAAAGCCACGAAACGUGAUUUCAUCCACUUAGUUUCCAGUUGGAAAGACAUCACCUGGCAGGCAAUCACACCAUCCAGCAACACCCUCCCGAAAACCUGCUCUCAAGCCACAUUUUCCCAGGUCCUUAUGGCUGACCACUAAGCGGCCACCUGCCUCCAUCCAAUCGCGGUCACCCUCAGUUACCUCCGCUGGUAGGACCUUGUGGAGCUCCAUUCUGCCUGUUUGGAGCUGCAGACGUUUGACAUCCUGAAGUAGCGGCUGUUCUCAUCCCACUGCCUCCGAAGACGGGCCUCCUGCUCCCGGUGUCGCUGUUGCGCUGCCUGCUGAUCCAGGAGCCUCCGGCUACACCAGUAGGAGGGCAGCGUGGGGAGUGCCAUCUAAGAGCAGCAGUGUAGGAAAAUGAGCUCGCUGCCAAUCCGGAACCCUCUCACGCUUGGCCUCCCCCUGCAGCAGUGCACUGGGAGUUGCGACAGGGGAGCCUGGCCCAGACCAACUACAUCCGAAAGUCCUAAUGCAGGCUGCAGGUGUCAGCAUUGUUUAAAUGAUUUGCCCUGGGGGCUGCAAAUCACAGAUUUAAGCCAGCGUGAACUGCACCCGCUGUGGUAGAGGCAUCACUGAGGGCACUGACACUCGUGGUACUGAUGGAGAGACUGGGACCACAGGGAGGGUCACGGAGCAGUCUGGGGACCCAAAUGGAGACUUGAAAGCAGAGAGCAGUCUCACUGGGGUAACUUUUCCCCUUGACCCAAAAGCUGUCCCCAAGUGCAGGUCUAAAGCGUUCGGCUAUGACGGUGCUUAAGGAACGUCUGCUGAAUAAGCAAAAGGCCUGGGUCUCCGGCAAGUCUCAAAUUCAGAGUCCUCCAAACCUGGGGGGGAAUAAUCUGCAUCUAUGGGCCAAGUCUAGCCCGCGGCUGCCUGUUUAUAAACUCCGUUUUGAGACUUGGCAGGUUUGACCUUCUCUCUUCCUUGCUCUGUGUGCUGCCUGUGGAUAAAUCUUCCCACCAGGCAUCAAGAAACUUAGGCUUCCGGUUCUGGAUCGGCCACCAACAAGCUGGGCGGCUCCCGGAACCAGUCGCAUCCCUCUCGACCUCAAUAUACACAUAGGACAAAAGGGUCACAGAAGGAUGUAUCGGCCCAAGAGCGCGGUGGGAGCAGAGGAGCGCGGGAUGCCGGUCGCACAGGUGCCCUGCGCUCGCGUCCCGGACGCCCGCCGGGAUGCCAGCCGCGGUGCCGGCCGGCGCGAGGCCACUGCGGCGGCAUCUGCGGGGCCCCGACCCCCAGGCCGGCUCCUGGCCGAGCCCACCCUACGACUCACGUUGCUCUGCGCCCGGAGUUUCCGAAGAGUCCCCCGGCCCAGCUCCCGCAAGCCCCAACUAUACCCGCUAAUCCCAAAGACGGCCGUUACCCAGCUUGUUGCCCCGCGACAGACCGGCGACGGGGCGCCGUGCUGGCCAAGCGCGGAGAGAAGAGGCUGUGUUUUUUCCUCUGGCGCCGCCUCGUGGUGGGCGGGAGAUCACCCGGGAACGUCGCCAGUCCUGGAAGGAUGGAGAGAGUGAAUCUACUGGAUACAUAAAAUUCAGGAUGGCGGUUGCCUGGGGAGAUAAGGGGUUGCCCUGAUGAGAGAAAUGAAGGUUUACAUGGAGAGCAUGCAGCCACAGAGCACCUGGUACAUCUCAGGUAAGCGUGCUUU